rnacentral:rRNA from 1 species
UACGAAGGGUGCAAGCGUUACUCGGAAUUACUGGGCGUAAAGCGUGCGUAGGUGGUUUGUUAAGUCUGUUGUGAAAGCCCCGGGCUCAACCUGGGAAUGGCAAUGGAUACUGGCAGGCUAGAGUGCGGUAGAGGGUAGUGGAAUUCCCGGUGUAGCGGUGAAAUGCGUAGAUAUUGGGAGGAACACCAGUGGCGAAGGCGGCUCACUGGACCGGAACUGACGCUGAGGCGCGAAAGCGUGGGGAGCAAACGGG